rnacentral:rRNA from 1 species
UAGUCCACGCCCUAAACGAUGUAUACUCGAUGUUUGAUUUAAUUAUUGGGCAUCCAAGGGAAACCAUUAAGUAUACCACCUGGGGAGUACGUCGGCAACGAUGAAACUCAAAGGAAUUGACGGGGGCCCGCACAAGCGGAGGAACAUGUGGUUUAAUUCGAUGAUACGCGAGGAACCUUACCUGGACUUAAAUGUGCGUUGCAUAGAUUGGAGACAGUCUUUUCUUCGGACUACGUACAAGGUGCUGCAUGGUUGUCGUCAGCUCGUGCCGUGAGGUGUCGGGUUAAGUCCCAUAACGAGCGCAACCCCUAUCCUUAGUUGCCAGCGGGUGAUGCCGGGGACUCUGAGGAGACUGCCACCGUAAGGUGUGAGGAAGGUGGGGAUGACGUCAAAUCAGCACGGCCCUUAUGUCCAGGGCUACACACGUGUUACAAUGGACGGUACAAAGGGCAGCUACCUGGCGACAGGAUGCUAAUCUCUAAAGCCGUUCUCAGUUCGGAUCGAAGUCUGCAACCGACUUCG